AGUUAAGUCAGAUGUAGAAACGGCCCGGGGUACUUAACCGUACGGUAAUUGCUAUUUAGAAACGUGGCGAGGCUAGAGUCUUGUAGAGGGGGUAGAAUUUCAGGUGUAGCGGUGAAAUGCGUAGAGAUCUGAAGGAAUACCAGUGGCGAAGGCGGCCCCCUGGACAAAGACUGACGCUCAGAUGCGAAAGCGUGGGGAGCAAACAGGAUUAGAUACCCUGGUAG
rnacentral:rRNA from 1 species